CAGCGAUUAGGUCGGGAACUCAAAGGAGACUGCCAGUGAUAAACUGGAGGAAGGUGGGGAUGACGUCAAGUCAUCAUGGCCCUUACGACCAGGGCUACACACGUGCUACAAUGGCGCAUACAAAGAGAAGCGACCUCGCGAGAGCAAGCGGACCUCAUAAAGUGCGUCGUAGUCCGGAUUGGAGUCUGCAACUCGACUCCAUGAAGUCGGAAUCGCUAGUAAUCGUGGAUCAGAAUGCCACGGUGAAUACGUUCCCGGGCCUUGUACACACCGCCCGUCACACCAUGGGAGUGGGUUGCAAAAGAAGUAGGUAGCUUAACCUUCGGGAGGGCGCUUACCACUUUGUGAUUCAUGACUGGGGUGAAGUCGUAACAAGGUAACCGUAGGGGAACCUGCGGUUGGA
rnacentral:rRNA from 4 species